rnacentral:rRNA from 1 species
GAUGAACGCUGGCGGCGUGCUUAACACAUGCAAGUCGAACGGAAAGGCCAGUGCUUGCACUGGUACUCGAGUGGCGAACGGGUGAGUAACACGUGGGUGAUCUGCCCUGUACUUCGGGAUAAGCUUGGGAAACUGGGUCUAAUACCGGAUAGGACAACUUUUUGGAUAUUGUUGUGGAAAGCUUUUGCGGUAUGGGAUGAGCUCGCGGCCUAUCAGCUUGUUGGUGGGGUAAUGGCCUACCAAGGCGUCGACGGGUAGCCGGCCUGAGAGGGUGUACGGCCACAUUGGGACUGAGAUACGGCCCAGACUCCUACGGGAAGCAGCAGUGGGGAAUAUUGCACAAUGGGCGCAAGCCUGAUGCAGCGACGCCGCGUGGGGGAUGAAGGCCUUAGGGUUGUAAAGCUCUUUCACCGAUGAAGAUAAUGACGGUAGUCGGAGAAGAAGCCCCGGCUAACUUCGUG